CCCUUAGAUGUUCUGGGCUGCACGCGCGCUACACUGACGCACGCAACAGGUGCCUGCUCCGAGAGGACUGGGUAAUCAUUUGAGUGUGCGUCGUGAUGGGGAUAGAAUAUUGUAAUUAUUACUCUUCAACGAGGAAUUCCUAGUAAGCGCCAGUCAGCAGCUUGCGCUGAUUACGUCCCUGCCCUUUGUACACACCGCCCGUCGCUCCUACCGAUGGGUGAUCCGGUGAAUGAUUCGGACUUCAGCGGCCCCCCUGGGGUGCGCCGGAGAAAGUUUUGUGAACCUUAUCACUUGGAGGAAGGAGAAGUCGUAACA
rnacentral:rRNA from 1 species